rnacentral:rRNA from 1 species
AGGGAAAGGCGAAAAGAACCCCGGCGAGGGGAGUGAAAAAGAACCUGAAACCGUGUACGUACAAGCAGUAGGAGCCCCACCACCAAAGCGUUUCGCUUUGCGUGGUGCGCAAAAUGCGUAACGACAGCAUGAUGGACGGUUAACGGAGCGUAAGCGACGUUCAACAUCCAGAAUCAGGCAGUGGAGCGUUUUGGGGUGGGGUGACUGCGUACCUUUUGUAUAAUGGGUCAGCGACUUAUAUUCUGUAGCAAGGUUAACCGUAUAGGGGAGCCGCA